CCAUUUCUUUAAUAACUUUGUAACGGCUCGUCGGAUUGCCGAACCGUCUUCGCCAACGCGUUCGUUUACCUAGCAAUUUGGUUUACGGAGGGUCAAAUGAGAUCAAACCCUCAUAUUUUAAAAAACCCCAUUUUCUAAGCCUAAUAUGAAUUAAUCUCCAAAUAAUCCAAAUUAAAUAGAGCAAACAUGUUUAGAAUGCUCAUUAGAGGCUAUUAGAACACUUAAAACUAAGGAUUAAGCCAAAUCCUAAAAGCUUACCUCAAUGUGAACGCCGCGACGACAACACACCGCUCCAACGGGCGCACGAAAGCUCAAUCCGUCGCCUCCAACGCGUUCGCAAGCAUAUUCUCCACCAACCCCGCGAAUUUGAGCGAGAGAUAUAGAGAAAUGAGAGAGAUCUCUAGAGAGAGAAAGGAGAGUUUCUCUCCUCUCUCCAUGUGUGCGUGAGGUGUGUGUGGGUGUGCACGGCUGAAGGAGGAAGAAGAAGCAUCAUGCUUCUAUUUAAUUACACCCCAACACUAUUCACCUCCAGGCAGCUUAAAAUCUGAUAACUUUCGCCGGAGCUCCCUGAAUGUCCGUUUGAGCUCAAACUUGACAGUCAUGUUCGGUUUUACUUAACUUAACAAGCUGACGAUCACUGGUUCAGUUUCGACCCCGUUUGGUCACUGAAAACUGUACCGAACUGCAAUCUUUAUCAGAUAGCUUUCGGAUUUUAUUUCUCACUCUAUGGGUGUCAGAAAAAUAUGAAACCUUAAAUCUAGCCUCAUAAAAAUAUUUCUGACAUCUCCGCCAAUUUUCAUAAUUUUCUGAGACUGUGCAUUUUCUGCUUAUUUUUCUGUCCCGUCUCCAACAGAAAAUUCUAGAUCUUCUGUUUUAAUUCCGAUUUCAGCACAAGUCACCUCUGACUUAUGUUUUACCUCUAUAAAUCUAAUAAAAAUAGUUUCUCACACUAUUUUUAUUUAUUAUUAUUUUUAUACCAAAAUCUGGUAUAUUACAUUCUCCACCCCUUAAAAAGAAUUUCGUCCGCGAAAUUCAAAACACACCUCAAUUCAGCUCCUCGAGCAAUUGAGGGCACCAAUGCACUUUUUCACUUCGGAAUGGCUUUACACUCCUUGGAACUAUCCAAGAGAACUAUCACGGAGGGUACAAUACCAAACUCAUACAACUUUGUAAGGUGCAUCCCACAAAGUGCAUUACGGUAUCCACCAUUCUUGGUGGAAGCGCAAGUCGAAAUUCAACGACUACACACGCUCCAACCCCACUUGUCAUUUGGCAUGCAAGAACUCUUCUUUGCAUGUACUCUCCCUUCAGGGAAUACAUUCCGAUUCUAUCUCCAACAGUGCUUAAAAGCAACAUCACUGAUGCAUCGCUUCCGCGCGAGUGCUCUAAUUCCGCACUGAUCUUUAGCUCUAACAUGAGAUGGCCCACCUCGGCGCCUCCCAAUUCCAAUCCUCAAAUUCCACGUGGCUUGCUACUAGCUCAAGGUCUCACAAGGAGCACUUCAUCUUCUAAUACCAUAUGCCACGGUCAACAUUGAACUAAUUUCGCAACGAGCUCACACGAACGCUUCAUUCGUGGAUUCGAGUUAGACUCCUCGAUAAGGCUAUCCGCCAAACCGCUCUCUUCGGUCUCCACAGGUGGACCAAAGGCCACCAAUCCUACGUAGGCCUACCGCCUAACCUUUCUCAAUACGCAGCGUCUCUCGCUCGCAAUGCAGACCCAAUCAUCAUUGGGGCGAAAUUCUCACUUGGGAAUUCGCACACACUCCAACCAGGAGCAACUAAGAUCCCAAACCGUUACAGAUUCCCGGGUUGGGUCACACUCGCACUCUCAGUAUACUAUCAAUCGCACUACAUGCUCUAUAGCACAAUACGUACCACUAUCGGCUCCUAUGCACCUAGUGCGAGCCACCAGCCCCACGAGUGAUCCGUGGCACGCUUCACACCUAGCAAUGCUCAGGUGCUACUGCCAACACACUCAUCCGGCUAAACUAAAUCCGCACUCCACGAGUAACUAUACUCGUGUAUCGCACGCCUCUAAAGCGCUCCACACUAUGUCCAGCAUUAGGCAACUCUUGCCUAUGCACACCGGCCACACGAGCAUGGCUCACCUACCUCGAUUCGAGGUACUACUAGGCAAAAGCGCCAGUAGUUGGCAACAAACCGUUCCAUCGGAGCAACAUCCGGAAUACUCGAACCAUUCGAGUGUCCACAAGUGUCACGUCACAACUCUCGCAAUCAGCUAUACAUUGCUCUGCGAGUUAGUCCGUCACUCCCAUCUCUACUGUGAAUCUCAUCAUUAGACCAUCACUAGCAACUCGCUAGUGCCAUCCAGUUCUCUACCUGCACCGGCAGGUGCAACGCUUUCACCACAUAAGCGUGCCCGGGUAUUUACAUUUAUCCGCUCACUUGGACCCUACUAUGCUACUACAUAAAUAGUAGUAAUUAAUUACAUGCUCAAUGCAUGCAAUGCACCAACUUUACAUUAUGCAGAAACACAUAACUGCAUUAAUGGCUCAUACCUGCCAUGACGUUGUCAGCAGCAGGUUCCAUAUCCCGGACAUAGUUCACGAUAGGGAGAAUUCCCGUUCGUACUCUCUAACUGAGCGGUCUCCUUGCCGCAGCUUCCUGAACUUGUCCUGAAGCUUUCUCUUUUCACUGUCGGGGGAAGUAAGUAGAAGAUACCAAUCCCCAAAACUCAUCCCAUGCCAUGGAGGAAUACUAGGCGAUCGGUUCCGCCGAAUGCCUUUCCACCACGCCUUAGCCGACUGUUUCAAACAAUACACGGCUAGGGGUACCCUGUCCCGCUCCAAGGUAGACAGCUCCUCGAAGAGCGUUUCCACGGAGUCAAUCCACGUAUCCACAAUCCACGAAUCGACAUUCUCUCCAUCGAAGAUAGGUGGAUCAAACUUUAUGAAGGUCAUGAGGGCUGCCAAAGCCCGCUCUUUCUCCUUCUUUUCCUUUCCUUUCUUCCUCCUCUUCUUGUCUUCUAGAGAGAGAAAGAGAGAUAUGAGAGGGUGUGUGGGUGAGAAAUGAGAGAAAAGAGCUCUCAUACUCCUCACAUAGCCCCACAUGUUGCAUAAGUGCAAACAAGCCUCUCAACUUUUACUCUUUUACACUGCCCUGACUGGGCCAUUUUCAGGUUCGGGGACCGGUCUCCCCGACGAGGGACCGGUCUCCGAGAGCUCUCCCCGCGGUCAGCAGGGCUCACGCACGAUGCAUCCGGUCUCCCCCGAUGGGACCGGUCUCUUCGGGACCGGUCUCUCCCUGCAGGGACCGGUUCCCGAGAGCUGUCCACCGGGGACUUAGCCGAUUUUUCCUCCCUUUCGCUGUCUGCGCGUGCGGGGACCGGUCUCUCCCACCAGGGACCGGUCCCCGAGAGCAGAAAACCUGCAGUUUGCAGAUUUUGAUUCCCAAAGCUCUCGAAGAUCCCCAGCAACGCACUUUUGCAUUAUUUGACGCCUUCGGCCUUUCCGAAGUGUACCAACCUCGCUCUUUGGUCAAUUUGACCAAGGUUCGAUGUUCGCUUACCGAAGUUUCGGUAUAUUACACCUACAAUUUUUUUUCGGAGUCUCUUAAUUCGCUCCUCCUGGUGUAUAGCAGCCUCCUGCUGCCGCUGCACCACAUCUGCUCGUUGCCUCACCACACCCACAAGUGUGGCCAACCGUUCGCGAAGUUCCAAAUCUCCGCUCGCCUUGGAUUGCUCUGGGACAUCACUUGUCCCACCCCGCGUCGAUCUAAACGAAGAUCGCCUACGCGGUGCCAUCGUUACCUAGAACAUAACAACUCAACUAACUCUCAACCUUCUAGGUCGAGUACGAGACAACUGACAUCAACUCAAAUCGGGCGAAAGUCAUACAAGGGCAUCUAUUCUCAUCACUCGGUUUCAUGUUGUACGCGUCCAACAUGAACACUCUCGGUUGAGAAUAGACAACACCUUGGAUCUACCUCUAAUCUCCUUUUUAGAGGUUUACAACACAACCCAAUCCCUUAACCUUUCGCCAAAAGUCACAAGUCCUCGUCUCUCACGAGCCUUAAUCUCCUAUGGUUUACUAUCCUAGGGUCUCCUAGGUUCAUCUAAACCACUUUCCCAUUCUCUACUUUAUGCUCUGAUACCAUCUUACCUGUCACGCCCCGAGCCCGCCUCUUUGGUCGGAUUCGGGCACGCCAACAGACCGCCGAACGGACAGGGUUUCCCCUGCACGCGGACAGAGUCUCCCCUGUACGUUCAAGGCGUCGCAAUCAAUACAAUUACAAGAGGUUCCAAACAGGAACAAUUUUCAACAACGAUUGCAUAAGGAAGGUAUCAAACAACAUAACACAUCCUAUGUUAUUACAAUCAUUCAUCUCAUCAUUUUACAUCGCAUUUUUCAUUACAUUGAUUCUCAACUUCCAAAUAUACAAUCGAUUUCUAAACAUAAUAUUACAACAUCGAUUCUUUUCUUUUCUUUUCUUAUACCCCUAAGAAGCCGACUCAGGGUGCUGCUAUCUGGUCUCUGUGGUAGGGCGCUAACUACGGAGCUACGCCCUUUCCUCGCGCCGCCGCGCCGCUCGCGUGUGAACCUGUACCCCCAAAAACAACAACACGGGGGUGAGACUAUUGUCCAUAGUCGUCAGUGGGUACAGCCACCCAAGUGAAAAGCUCAACCCACCAGGUCCAAAGGAGGCACUGCAACAUGUUAGUCCAACAGAUAUAUAUAUAUAUAACAUCAUGCAAUACAUGUUCAUGCCUCACAAAUAUGCAAAUUAUGCAACUCUUAGUCAUUCUUUACCAUUAGCCUUUCUUUAGAAUAUGCAAUUCUUUAUCAUUAGCCAUUCUUUAUUCUUUAAUCUUUAUUCUUUAUUCUUUAUUCUUUAUGCUUUAUUCUUUAUGCUUUAUUCUUUGUUCUUUAUCCUUUACUAAGGGCACUCGCGCCUUAGGCUCAUCAUACACAUUUGCCAUUCUUUAUAACAUUAACAAGUCUUUCUCAAUUAUCACUCUUUCCUAAGGUUACAUUUACCUUAGCCAACUAUGCCACUCGACUCGGUCUUGAGUCAAUUCAUAAUGAAUACAAGAUCCACUUUCCAAUUCAUGAUUCCUUUUUGUUCUUUGUUCUUUAAUCUCACGGCUAACCCGGGGGUUUCGCCACAUUAACUUGCUUCACAUUAAGUCCAUCAUCGCAGGAACUCACCAGCUAGGACCGUCCUUACGGGUCUACUCCAACCCGGAUGCCAAACUCCGGAGCGCAUCGCCCGAGGGGGAGCGACCGCCCUCGAGCACGGAACUCAUAGCAAGUAUGAUCAAUCCUUAACUCUAAGGAUAUGUAGUUGGAUCAUGGUUUUACACUAACUCUAGUGUUCUUUACAUCACAUUAGUUGCUAACUCUAGCAAUCAUUAUUCUUUAUACCACAAUUAUCAAUUACUUUAGUAAUUAUCAUUCUUGAUACCACACUUGUUCUUUUAUUGCCACACACUAACUCUAGUGUUCUUUAUGUCACAUUGGUUGCUAACUUUAGCCAUUAUCAUUGUUCUUUACACUUUGCUUGUUCUUUAUGCCACAUUACUUUACAUCGCCUCUAGCCAUUAUCAUUAUUCUUUACAUCACAUUGCUUUGCCUUGUCUCAAGCCAUUAUCAUUAGGUUCUCACAUUACAUCUCAUGCAUACACAUAGAUUAUUUAGAUUCUUAAUCAUUCUAAUAAGCACGUGUACUCACAUCAUGCAACAUUACAUUAUUAUCAUCACAUUGUUUUACAUUAUCUUUAGCCAUUAUCAUUGUUCUUUACAUCACAUUUAUUCUUUGAUGUCCCACACUAACUCUAGUGUCCACUUUACCAUUUCGAAUGCCACUCGAUCUAUGUUCAACAUGCAUAUAUUUUGUCAUCCAUUGGUAGUCAUUACUUAGCAUUUUAUGCAUUCGUUAACAUUUACUACAUGCAUUCUCGGUUAGUACAAAUCUCAUACUUUCAUUUGACAUCUAUUUAGCAUUUCUAUAAUAUGCACAUAUAAAUUAACAUCAACUCAUGCAUUCAUUUGGCAUCUAUCUUUAUCAUGCAUUCUUAAUUAGCAUACUUUAUCAUGCAUUCUCAAAUAGCAUACUUUAAUCUUUAUCAUGCAUUCUUAAAUAGCAUACUUUAUCAUGCGUCAAUAGUAAACAUACUACACUUUAGCAUGGAAAGCGACCUAAUCGCUUCGGUGAGCACAACCCACCUCAUUUCGCAUUCCGAUUGCUUGUCGACACUUGCAAUCGGCCUCCCGCGGCACCCGUAACCCGGUUUGGCCCGAUCUCUCACGCGACCACCCGAACGGCCUCCAAUUCACGAUCCGAAAAUUAAAGGUCUUCGGUUAUGUGCCACGAAGCUUCAAAUCCAUUUUCAUGAAUUUACGAUAUCGCCUCGGCCCUCCCGGCGGACCCGAAGCCUAAACGUCCGUUUCUUUAAUAACUUCGCAACGGCUCGUCGGAUUGCCGAACCGUCUUCGCCAACGCGUUCGUUUACCUAGCAAUUAGGUUUAUAUAGGGUCAAUUUAGAUCAAACCCUUACAUUUUACAAAACCCCAUUCGGAGCCCUAAUAUGCUAUUAACCUCAAAAUAAUCCAAAAUUAAAUGGAUCAACAUGCUAACAAAGCUCAUUAGAGGCUAUUAGAAUACUUAAAGCUAAGGAUUAAGCCAAAUCCUAAAAGCUUACCUCAAUGUGAACGCCGCGACGACAACACACCGCUCCAACGGGCGCACGAAAGCUCAAUCCGUCGCCUCCAACGCGUUCGCAAGCAUAUUCUCCACCAACCCCGCGAAUUUGAGCGAGAGAUAUAGAGAAAUGAGAGAGAUCUCUAGAGAGAGAAAGGAGAGUUUCUCUCCUCUCUCCAUGUGUGCGUGAGGUGUGUGUGGGUGUGCACGGCUGAAGGAGGAAGAAGAAGCAUCAUGCUUCUAUUUAAUUACACCCCAACACUAUUCACCUCCAGGCAGCUUAAAAUCUGAUAACUUUCGCCGGAGCUCCCUGAAUCUCCGUUUGAGCUCAAACUUGACAGUCAUGUUCGGUUUUACUUAACUUAACAAGCUGACGAUCACUGGUUCAGUUUCGACCCCGUUUGGUCACUGAAAACUGUACCGAACUGCAAUCUUUAUCAGAUAGCUUUCGGAUUUUAUUUCUCACUCUAUGGGUGUCAGAAAAAUAUGAAACCUUAAAUCUAGCCUCAUAAAAAUAUUUCUGACAUCUCCG
rnacentral:lncRNA from 1 species